rnacentral:rRNA from 1 species
ACGCUCGACACCUACGGAGGCAGCAGUGGGGAAUAUUGCACAAUGGGGGAAACCCUGAUGCAGCGAUGCCGCGUGAAGGAAGAAGUAUCUCGGUAUGUAAACUUCUAUCAGCAGGGAAGAAAAUGACGGUACCUGACUAAGAAGCCCCGGCUAACUACGUGUCAGCAGCCGCGGUAAUCUGAGCGGGCUGGCAAGGC